rnacentral:rRNA from 1 species
GACGAACGCUGGCGGCGUGCUUAACACAUGCAAGUCGAACGGAAAGGCCCUGCUUUUGUGCGGUGCUCGAGUGGCCACCGGGUAAGUAACACGUAAGUACCCUGCCAUUGACUUUGGGAUAACUUCAGGCAACUGGGGCUCAUACCGGCUAAGAGCUCCUGCUGCUUGGUGGGGGCUGGUUAGUUUCGGCGGUUGGGGUUGGACUCGCGGCUUAUCAGCUUGUUGGUGGGGUAGUGGCUUACCAAGGCUUGGACGGGUAGCAGGGCUGGGCGGGGCACCGGACACGUCAGGACUGGAAUGAGGCCCAGCCUCGUACGGGAGGCAGCGGAGGAGAAUAGUGCACUAUGGGCGGAAGCCUGAUGCAGCAACGCCGCGUGCGGUAAGACGGCCUGCGGGUAGUGAACCGCUUUCGCCUGUGACGAGGCGUGAAUGACGGUAAUGGGUAAAGAAGCACCGGCUAACUACGUG